UACGUAGGGGGCAAGCGUUGUUCGGAAUUACUGGGCGUAAAGGGCUCGUAGGUGGCCGACUAAGUCAGACGUGAAAUCCCUCGGCUUAACCGGGGAACUGCGUCUGAUACUGGACGGCUUGAGUUCGGGAGAGGGAUGCGGAAUUCCAGGUGUAGCGGUGAAAUGCGUAGAUAUCUGGAGGAACACCGGUGGCGAAGGCGGCAUCCUGGACCGACACUGACACUGAGGAGCGAAAGCCAGGGGAGCAAACGGG
rnacentral:rRNA from 1 species